rnacentral:rRNA from 1 species
CCUACGGGUGGCAGCAGUGAGGAAUAUUGGUCAAUGGACGAGAGCCUGAACCAGCCAAGUAGCGUGAAGGAUGACUGCCCUAUGGGUUGUAAACUUCUUUUAUAUGGGAAUAAAGUAGGGUAUGCAUACCCUUUUGUAUGUACCAUAUGAAUAAGGAUCGGCUAACUCCGUGCCAGCAGCCGCGGUAAUACGGAGGAUGCGAGCGUUAUCCGGAUUUAUUGGGUUUAAAGGGAGCGUAGGUGGUUUGUUAAGUCAGUUGUGAAAGUUUGCGGCUCAACCGUAAAAUUGCAAGUGAAACUGGCAGUCUUGAGUACAGUAGAGGUGGGCGGAAUUCGUGGUGUAGCGGUGAAAUGCUUAGAUAUCACGAAGAACUCCGAUUGCGAAGGCAGCUCACUGGACUGCAACUGACACUGAUGCUCGAAAGUGUGGGUAUCAAACAGGAUUAGAUACCCGAGUAGUC